rnacentral:rRNA from 1 species
AUUGAACGCUGGCGGCAGGCCUAACACAUGCAAGUCGAGCGGAUGAGGGGAGCUUGCUCCCUGAUUUAGCGGCGGACGGGUGAGUAAUGCCUAGGAAUCUGCCUGGUAGUGGGGGAUAACGUUCCGAAAGGAACGCUAAUACCGCAUACGUCCUACGGGAGAAAGCAGGGGACCUUCGGGCCUUGCGCUAUCAGAUGAGCCUAGGUCGGAUUAGCUAGUUGGUGAGGUAAUGGCUCACCAAGGCGACGAUCCGUAACUGGUCUGAGAGGAUGAUCAGUCACACUGGAACUGAGACACGGUCCAGACUCCUACGGGAGGCAGCAGUGGGGAAUAUUGGACAAUGGGCGAAAGCCUGAUCCAGCCAUGCCGCGUGUGUGAAGAAGGUCUUCGGAUUGUAAAGCACUUUAAGUUGGGAGGAAGGGCUGCUGGUUAAUACCCUGCAGUUUUGACGGUACCAACAGAAUAAGCACCGGCUAACUUCGUG